GACGAACGCUGGCGGCGUGCCUAAUACAUGCAAGUAGAACGCACAGUUUAUACCGUAGCUUGCUACACCAUAGACUGUGAGUUGCGAACGGGUGAGUAACGCGUAGGUAACCUGCCUGGUAGCGGGGGAUAACUAUUGGAAACGAUAGCUAAUACCGCAUAAUAUUAAUUAUUGCAUGAUAAUUAAUUGAAAGGUGCAAUUGCACCACUACCAGAUGGACCUGCGUUGUAUUAGCUAGUAGGUGAGGUAACGGCUCACCUAGGCGACGAUACAGAGCCGACCUGAGAGGGUGAUCGGCCACACUGGGAAUGGGACCCGGCCCAGACUCCUACGGGGGGCAGCAGUAGGGAAUCUUCGGCAAUGGACGAAAGUCUGACCGAGCAACGCCGCGUGAGUGAAGAAGGUUCUCGGAUCGUAAAGCUCUGUUGUAAGAGAAGAACGGGUGUGAGAGUGGAAAGUUCACACUGUGACGGUAGCUUACCAGAAAGGGACGGCUAACUACGUG
rnacentral:rRNA from 1 species